rnacentral:rRNA from 1 species
CAGUAGCCGCGGGAACACGUAGGGUGCAAGCGUUAAUCGGAAUUACUGGGCGUAAAGCGUGCGCAGGCGGUUAUAUAAGACAGAUGUGAAAUCCCCGGGCUCAACCUGGGAACUGCAUUUGUGACUGUAUAGCUAGAGUACGGCAGAGGGGGAUGGAAUUCCGCGUGUAGCAGUGAAAUGCGUAGAUAUGCGGAGGAACACCGAUGGCGAAGGCAAUCCCCUGGGCCUGUACUGACGCUCAUGCACGAAAGCGUGGGGAGCAAACAGGAUUAGAUACCCGAGUAGUCCCUGUCUCUUAUAC